CUAAAGCAUCCUCUGAUUCAGUGCCUUCAGAUCUGUGGAAUUAGAAUUGCAUCCCCAAUCAAAUGCAUUUGCUUAUUGAAGAUUAUGGAAGGUACAAGCUAACGUUGGAAGAGUUGGGUUGCAUAUCAAUGAUAAUGUGGUCAUGAUUUUGAUUUGAUAGUUGGGUUUGUUGUGUCAAUAUUCUAGAAUAGUGAUAUCCUGAUGCCUUAAUGUGGGAUAAAUUAUAGAGCUAUACCAGUGUUGGCGAACCUUUUCAGCACUGAGUGCCAAAAUGGGAGUGCGCACGUACGCCCAGGGGAGUGCCAGAAACCGGAAGAGCAAUUCCCCAGUGCGCAUGUGCACCAGGGAGCUGGUCUUCUAGUUUCUGGUGCACACAAAUGUGCAAAGACCAGCUGGCUGGUGCAGAUGUGCAUGCCGGAUCCCAGAAGAGCAACGGGCGAUGGCUGGCAUUCCGGGAAAGAUGGCUCUGCGUGCCACUUCCGGCACAUGUGCCAUAGGUUUGCCAUCACUGAGCUAUACUAUUGGGAAGCCUCCAAAGUUUCAUCUUCCUUAACCUAUAAGAUGUGAAAAGUUUACAAGUGAAAGUUUGUAUGGCAUAAAAGGGAAAAUAGAUAACAGAGAUUGCAUGUUAAUUGCAUGUUAACUCCCCCAUCAUUUCAAUAAAACUGCAGUGUAUUUUAUGAUAUUGUGAAAGACUAAGCAGGAGAAUCUAUUCAUUUUGUUUAAUGAAGUGUUAAAAGUUAGUGGCUAUUUUAAGAAAUUUCUUUUCUUCUGUUGCUCUUUUUCUUUAAGCGGGACAGACCUUUGUGCAGGAGAUGUUCCUCGUGUAGUUCUUCAGAUUAGAAUUGUUCUCUAUUAAAUAGGAUAUGUGACAAUUUUACUUGCAAUAAAUACUGUUGUUGAGAGAGGCAGAAGUAAAGAAAAUUAAUAGAAAAAUAAAUUGAUUUUAUAUAUUUGUUUGCUUAUAAUAUUUAUUUGCUGCCCAUCUCAUAUCCAAUGACUCUUCCUUAAGCUUAAAAUCAGAUAUCUAAAGCAUGAUGUAAAUUAAUUGAUUGGUAUUAUGUUUUCACAUAUUAUCUCUACAUAUUGGAAUGUAAAACCAUUAAAUUAUGAUAAUGGUGACUGUUUCAUCCAAAGGCCAGUCAUUUAUAUCUGGGUGCAGCUCCCCAAAGCUUUGGGUGCCAUACUCAGAACUCUUCAGAAUUUAAUGCCAAAGUAUAAUUUUUAAUGUCACAAAAAUAGAAAAUUAUGAAAUAUGUACAAAAUGAUUAUGAUAAUGGUACUUAAAUUUAAAUUUCAUUUAAGAAAAGUAUCUAUUUCAUUUAGGUAUAAUUACCCAGUGUUGCUGGGAGUUGAGCAAAUGUAUUGUUAUUAUUAUAUACAUAGCAGUGUUAAAACACAGCUGACAGUUCUCUAGUUCUUUCCAAGAACCUACAAUGCCAAUUUACUAGCAUAGUAUAUGUGCAGAUGCAAGCAGUGUGGCUUUUUGUAAGUGAUGGAUGAAAAUUUUGUCAAUACACAGAUUUUCCAAAUGCCAUAUAAGAUUUUUUGUUAUGGUAUUCAGUGUGUCAAUAACCAGUGAGACCACCAUGGCUAGUUUAUGCCAUAAUCUUUCAAUUUAGAUUUUCAGAUCUUGAAACUUUAUGAUCUUCUCCAAUUAUUAUUCCCCAGUAUUGCCAAAUAACUUAUCCACACUUUCUUCUUUUCAUCCACAGUUAAAUCUGGUGUGUUAUGAGCCAAAAUUUAUCAGUUUGUAUUUGGAAAUCCCACAAUGUUUUAACCUGUUCAUUUUUGCCUACUUUUUCAAUUCUGUGUUCCCAUCAAGUUUUAAUUGCAGUGUUGGUAUUCAGCCGGUUCUAUUCGGUUUGGGCGAACCAGUAGCGACAGCGGUGGGAGGCUCCGCCCACCCGCCUGGACAUAAUCAGGUCCCAUUUUUGACGCUCUGCACGUGCUCACAUUUGUGAACCGGUAGCAAAGAUAGUAUCCUUUGCCUGUGUCAGAAGGAAUGCAAUUACUUCAGAAGUCUUGUGAUGACUGGGAUUGCAAAGCCCAGAGGGUUUGCCAUUUAUUAUGGUUCAGAAGCUCAGAUAAUAAUUGACAACAAAAGUAAUUCUUUGGAAGCUAAGCCAUUGAUAACUUGAGCAGAGAUUCAAGUAUAUAAACGUGACAUAUGCCUCUUUUCCACUAAUACAUUAAGAAGGAUGAAUAGGGAUGUUACUCAUCUGGAUAUGUGCACAGAAAGCCAGUGGAGACGAACUAGAAGAAGAAACUUGAAUAGCUCCCUCCUUUCGGAUUGCAGUUCCCAAGAGUGAGACUGAUAAGUAGAGUUUGCUAAAUAGUUUAGCAACGGAGGAAAUGUGAUGAUUCUAAUGUGCCAGUCAAGCUGACAUUAAGAUUACAGUUCUAAAUAUGCUGGAAUGAAUGAGACUUCCAAUGGUGCAAUGGUUAGAAUGCAGUAAUAGAACACAGGCUAAUUCUGCCGGCUGACAGCAGUUCGAUUCUCACCGGCUCAAAGUUUGACUCAGCCUUCCAUCCUUCCAAGGAAGCUGAUGAGUUAACUCCUUUGGAAAACUACCAGCUGCUGUUGCUGCCACACUUCAAGAAUGAGGAAAGUUUUCUCUGCAUCUUUUAAAGCUUUGUGCCAAACCUGCAGAGCGGUGGAGUCUUAACAAUGCAGAAAGAAGUGGAACUAUAAUUUUUCAUGCUUCAGAAGUGACUUGUAAUCAGGAUUUCCUCUUGAACAUGGAAUAGAAGACCUUGUGCCAAGGAAACAUUAUGGAGCACAUGACAGCCUCUGCAAGCAACAGAAUGUAUAUUCCUGUGAUCCAGCAACACGGUGGGAAUUGGUAACACUUAAUAUUAGUGCUGAUGGACAGUAUUUAUUAACUACAUGUUACAGAAUAAAGAGAGAAUAGUAAACUGGAAAAGAAGAUAACAUUCAACAGCCUGCAACUAGCCUAUGCUUCAUAGAAAAUACUUAACAGCUUGUCUGCGAGGCGCAUAUGGAGAGAACUGUAACCAAGUAUGUCAGUGCUCCAGAAAGAAUGAAGAAUGCCACCAUGACAGUGGCAGGUGUGGGUGCCUGCCAGAAAAAUCAGAAUCAAGGAUGCUAUGGUAUGCCUUAUGACACUCUGUGGAAGUGAAAGUUGGAUAGGAAGACUAUUGAACUUCGGUGUUGAAGAAGACUCCUAAGAAUACCACUGGAAGGUCAGGAAGACAAACAAAUGGAUCAAUGAACAAAUCAAACCAGAGUUCUCACUUUAGGCCCAAAUAUCCAGGUUCAAAUUAUCCUGUGUUGGAUAUGUCUCUUUCUUCAUAGAACAUAGCAUAAUAGCAUUGGAAGGGAUCUUGGAGAUCUUCAAGAGAUGCUAUACUAUUCCAGAUAAAUGGCUGUCCAAUCUAUUUUUGAAAACCUCCAGCACCCACAACUUCUGGAGGUAAGCAAAUUGGAUUGUUCUCAAAUUUCCUGCUCUUGCCUUGUUAUCUGCUUAGUAUGUUUGUGUGUGUGUAUGUGUGUGUGUGUGUGUGUGUACUGGCUAUGUAAUACUUUGCCUUACCAUGUCUGAUUUCUAUUGUUCGUUUUGUUUUUCUUGUAAAUUUGUUUGAUCUUUUCCGUAUUCAGUAAGCCUUCAUGGUGUACUAGCUUCAGUGCAUCUUCUUCAGAUGUCUUUCAGAUAAUUCUUCCUUUUAUUCUUUUCUUAUUCUCUUUCUUUUUCUUCACACAAAAUUCCACUUCCACCAAAUUAUUUUUCAACGAUGGAGGUCCGGUAUCUAUUUCCCCAUGGGAAAAAUUAAAAAAAGAAAUGAUGAUCAAGAACAGUGCUUUUGCUUCCUUCCCAAAAGCUAUCUUCCUGCUUUUCCUCAAGAUGUAAAUAAUUAUUUGCAUGGAAGUGUUUGAGUAAAAUUCAGAAUGGAGGCUAUUAAACUGGAUAGAUCAAUUGCCUAAUUCUAAGACAACUUCAGGUAUCAAUUUUUAUUUGGCUCAUUGUUAUUUGGCUGGAGGAAAAUCCAAGAACAGGAGCCCUAUGUUCAAACACUUACUUGUUGGGGCUGAUAAAAUUAAAUUGAGAACUGGGCUCAUGAACUGUCUCCAGAGCAGAAGUGUUGCUAAGAAAUCGGCUCAAUAUACAGAGACUCCCCCAAAGAACUUAAGUUGGACAGAGUACAGCCAGCAUGUGGCUGGAUAUGGUUGGAAACCUUUCUUGGCAGCAAUUGCUGUACUUAUAAUACCGCAAAAGUGGGGGAAAGCAGCCCAAGAAAUUAUCCAUAAAAGGUGUAGCUGGCUGGUAAACAGAAGCUUUUAGCCGCCAAGAGCAACUGAGCUUUCAUGUUUUCACAUUUUGGAGUGAAGAAUUGAAAUAGUGUCUUGGCAGGAUUUAAGGAAGCAGAUAGCCGCACAAUAAGAAUGGCUUUAUUUGCCUAUAAAUCAGUUCAGGGACAUAUGUCUGAUAUACUAUAAUUUCUCUCUCUCUCUUUUUUUUUUAAAAAAAAGAAAACUCAAUGUCUAAAUUUGCUGCACUGAAUAACAGAUUUAAUAAUAUUACUGAGCCAUAUCCAGAUGAAAGGGGAGGAAGAAGAGGACGAGGAAAAGGAAAAGUGAAUGUUUUUACAGUACAAGGUAAAGGUAAAGGUUUCCCUCGCACAUACGUGCUAGUUGUUCCCGACUGUAGGGGGCAGUGCUCAUCUCUGUUUCAAAGCUGAAGAGCCAGCGCUGCCCGAAGACGUCUCCGUGAUCAUGUGGCCAGCAUGACUAAACCCCAAAGGCGCACAGAACGCUGUUACCUUCCCACCAAAGGUGGUCCCUAUUUUUCUACUUGCAUUUUUUACGUGCUUUUGAACUGCUAGGUUGGCAGAAGCUGGGACAAGUAACGGGAGCUAACCCCGUUAUGCAGCAUUAGGGAUUUGAACCACUGAACUGCUGACUUUUUGAUCGACAAGCUCAGUGUCUUAGCCACUGAGCUACCGUGUCCCUUUUACAUUACAAAGAACCUCCAAAAUGACUUGAAUUGCUUUUCUCUCCCCACUGAUGUAAGGAAGUAUAUUAAUUAUAUCAGCGCAAAAAUAAAUUGAAUUAGGUGUUAUAAUAUGGAGGGAAAUUAACUAGGAAAUUGCUAUUUUCGGUCCUGUGGCCUAAUAUUUAUAUAUAAAUAUACAAAUAUUUUCAAAUGUUUCUCAUAGGUUUUUCCUUGCUGAUUGCUCUCCAUUUGAUAAAUUCCAGCUUGUCAAUAUACUCCUUAAAAUAUGGAGUAAUAUUCCAAUAUGCAAUAGAAUAAUGUCCAGAACAGUUUUCUAUAUGCUGUUGGAUCAGUGCAAAAUAUAGAAGAAUGAUGAUUGCCGUUGAAUACCACAUUAUACUUCAGCUAAUGAAUCCUGGGAUCGUCCUUCCUUCCUUCCUUCCUUCCUUCCUUCCUUCCUUCCUUCCUUCCUCUGCCUACACACUGUUGGCUCAUAUUCAGCUUAUGAUUUACCAAUUUCUAUAUUUAGCUUAUUUCUAUACCUGUUUCAGGCUCUACCCAGAAAUUUAUUAAUUCUACAUGAAGAAAUUACUUCUAAAUAGAUAUGCACUGAUGCCACUUCGAUUAAGCAGACCUCUUGAGGGGACAUUCACAUCAUAUAGGCAAAUAGGAUCUGCAACUUGGAAAGCCAUGAAGACAGGAGGCUGAGAUACUCAUGAUAAUUGCUCUUAUGGAAAUAAGUAAGUUAGAAACUCUGGCUGGUUUUCAAGCUGUCCCUGCCUUCAACUCCUUCAGAAAACAUGGGCUUCUUGAGAAAAUAUUUGCUGGUAUUUGAGGGACCGGCAAGAAACUUGGAUUUAGUGCAUAUGCAUGUGAGAAGAUACAAGACUCAAAUAGCCAUGAAGAAAUGGCAGCCAGCCACCUCUUUCAUGGACCGUUUGCAAACAGUAGUGAUGUACAUCCACCAAAAGAAGAAGAACAGCAUCAAGAAAAAUGGAUGGCAUGAGAGAUACUGCAUUUAAAGCCAAUGUGUUCAAGAGGUUUUAUUUCCAUCUUAAUCCUUGUGGAACACAUUCAAGGUCUUGCAGUUCAUGGAACUCUCUCCCUCUCCCCUUCUAUUGCUCUAGAGGUGUUUCUCUGUAUGUCUUCAGAGCAUCUGGGCUCCAGAAAUAACUUCAUGCCGGAUACUAAAACUACAUAGUAUUGAAAAAUAUGCUGAUGCUAUUUAGCUAGAUAUGUCCGCCCCUGGCAGACAAAGCGAGGUUGUCAUAUUGUUGGCCCAGUUUUUGGAGGCUGUAAGAGUUUCAGAGAGGAGGAACCAGCUUUAAUUUGACACUAGCAAAAAAGAGCACCUCCUGUAUUUUUGAUCUCCCUGGCUGUGUUGAGGUAUCAUCUCUGUCUUUGGCUAGGUUUCAUCUUCCAUGGUGGAGCUGGUGUGCAGUUUGUGGAUCUCUCUGGACUCACAGCUUCUCCUCAAGGAGCAGGUAGCAUAUGUGGCUUGGAAGCUUUCGUAUAGAUUCAUCUUAUGGUUCAAUUGUAUUGUACCUAUUCCUGGACAAGAAAGCCUUGCUCACUGUCAGUCACAAUCUGCUCACAUUUCAGAUGGCUUUCUAUAACAGUGGUCACCAAUUGAUGGUCCGUGAAAAAUUUUUGGUGGUCCACAGAAAAAUUAUUUCCAUUUUUUAAAUUGCACUAAAUACUAUUUAGCUUUUUAAAAAAUUCAUAUUAGUGGUCCGUGGGAUUUAAAAUUAUUAAUUUAGUGCUCCCUGAGAUCCAAAGGGUUGGUGACCCCUGUUCUAUAAUGUGCUCUACAUGGGGCUGUCCUUGAAGACCAUACAGAAAUUACAGCUGGUUCAGACUGCAGUAGUGGGUAGAGUUUUGGGUUUUCAAUCAUUCACCAAUGUUGUGUCUGUAGGUGACCAGGCGGAGCUCGGGGGAGGAGUCAAACAUGUCAUCAGUCUCGAGUCCCUUCACACCACCAGAGAUUUAAAUCCAGUCCACUUUGAAUUCUGUUGACUUUUAUGUACCACCAAUUUGUUUUGACUACUACCUGUUCAGAUUCUUCUGAGGAGAGUUAGUAUGCAAUAAAUGUACGUUCAUUUGAA